rnacentral:rRNA from 1 species
ACGUAGGGAGCCAGCGUUGUCCGGAUUUACUGGGCGUAAAGAGCGCGUAGGCGGUUUUGUAAGCGGAGGGUGAAAUCCCGGGGCUCAACUCCGGGGCUGCUUUCCGUACUGCAAGACUAGAGUACGGGAGAGGAUAGUGGAAUUCCUGGUGUAGCGGUGGAAUGCGUAAAUAUCAGGAGGAACACCCGUGGCGAAGGCAGCUAUCUGGAACGUAACUGACGCUGAGGCGCGAAAGCUAGGGGAGCGAACAG